GAUGAACGCUGGCGGCGUGCCUAAUACAUGCAAGUCGAGCGAACGGACGAGAAGCUUGCUUCUCUGAUGUUAGCGGCGGACGGGUGAGUAACACGUGGAUAACCUACCUAUAAGACUGGGAUAACUUCGGGAAACCGGAGCUAAUACCGGAUAAUAUUUUGAACCGCAUGGUUCAAAAGUGAAAGACGGUCUUGCUGUCACUUAUAGAUGGAUCCGCGCUGCAUUAGCUAGUUGGUAAGGUAACGGCUUACCAAGGCAACGAUGCAUAGCCGACCUGAGAGGGGGAUCGGCCACACUGGAACUGAGACACGGUCCAGACUCCUACGGGAGGCAGCAGUAGGGAAUCUUCCGCAAUGGGCGAAAGCCUGACGGAGCAACGCCGCGUGAGUGAUGAAGGUCUUCGGAUCGUAAAACUCUGUUAUUAGGAAGAACAUAUGUGUAAGUAACUGUGCACAUCUUGACGGUACCUAAUCAGAAAGCCACGGCUAACUACGUG
rnacentral:rRNA from 1 species